ACACAAGUUUCUCAACCCUAAUUCACCCCACUUGGACGGCGACCUCAUCUUCUGUGAAGCUCUCCUUUUCAUCGAUCUUAACAUCUUCAAUCAUCUGCACUUUGUGGUCUAUAGGUUUAUAUCAUUAGGACUUGCUGUCUGGGAUGCUGGAGUGGUCUAUAGGUUUAUAUCAUUGGGACUUGUUGUCUGGGAUGCUGGAGUGGUCAUGGGUCGUACUGCAUGGAAUCGCGAGACAAGUCUAAUGAUUUUGUACAUACGGUUUAUGUAACACUUAACAAAUGAUUUAUGCUUCCGUUGAAUACGAUGAGUUA
rnacentral:lncRNA from 1 species